rnacentral:rRNA from 1 species
GGGUUGUGAGGUUAAGCGACUAAGCGUACACGGUGGAUGCCCUGGCAGUCAGAGGCGAUGAAGGGCGUGCUAAUCUGCGAUAAGCGCCGGUAAGGUGAUAUGAACCGUUAUAACCGGCGAUACCCGAAUGGGGAAACCCAGUGUGACUCGUCACACUAUCAUUAACUGAAUCCAUAGGUUAAUGAGGCGAACCGGGGGAACUGAAACAUCUAAGUACCCCGAGGAAAAGAAAUCAACCGAGAUUCCCCCAGUAGCGGCGAGCGAACGGGGAGGAGCCCAGAGCCUGAAUCAGCAUGUGUGUUAGUGGAAGCGUCUGGAAAGGCGCGCGAUACAGGGUGACAGCCCCGUACACAAAAGCGCAUGUGCUGUGAGCUCGAUGAGUAGGGCGGGACACGUGGUAUCCUGUCUGAAUAUGGGGGGACCAUCCUCCAAGGCUAAAUACUCCUGACUGACCGAUAGUGAACCAGUACCGUGAGGGAAAGGCGAAAAGAACCCCGGCGAGGGGAGUGAAAAAGAACCUGAAACCGUGUACGUACAAGCAGUGGGAGCACAGGUUUACCUGUGUGACUGCGUACCUUUUGUAUAAUGGGUCAGCGACUUAUAUUCUGUAGCAAGGUUAACCGAAUAGGGGAGCCGGAGGGAAACCGAGUCUUAAUUGGGCGUUAAGUUGCAGGGUAUAGACCCGAAACCCGGUGAUCUAGCCAUGGGCAGGUUGAAGGUUGGGUAACACUAACUGGAGGACCGAACCGACUAAUGUUGAAAAAUUAGCGGAUGACCUGUGGCUGGGGGUGAAAGGCCAAUCAAACCGGGAGAUAGCUGGUUCUCCCCGAAAGCUAUUUAGGUAGCGCCUCGUGAAUUCAUCUCCGGGGGUAGAGCACUGUUUCGGCUAGGGGGCCAUCCCGGCUUACCAACCCGAUGCAAACUGCGAAUACCGGAGAAUGUUAUCACGGGAGACACACGGCGGGUGCUAACGUCCGUCGUGAAGAGGGAAACAACCCAGACCGCCAGCUAAGGUCCCAAAGUCAUGGUUAAGUGGGAAACGAUGUGGGAAGGCCCAGACAGCCAGGAUGUUGGCUUAGAAGCAGCCAUCAUUUAAAGAAAGCGUAAUAGCUCACUGGUCGAGUCGGCCUGCGCGGAAGAUGUAACGGGGCUAAACCAUGCACCGAAGCUGCGGCAGCGAACGUAUCACUUAAAGCGAUUCAGCGGGUUACGAUUGACGGAGCGAAGCGACGUCAAAGCGUAUACAAAGUCGAGUCGGUUUAAGGAUACGUUCGUUGGGUAGGGGAGCGUUCUGUAAGCCUGUGAAGGUGGCCUGUGAGGGUUGCUGGAGGUAUCAGAAGUGCGAAUGCUGACAUAAGUAACGAUAAAGCGGGUGAAAAGCCCGCUCGCCGGAAGACCAAGGGUUCCUGUCCAACGUUAAUCGGGGCAGGGUGAGUCGACCCCUAAGGCGAGGCCGAAAGGCGUAGUCGAUGGGAAACGGGUUAAUAUUCCCGUACUUGGUGUUACUGCGAAGGGGGGACGGAGAAGGCUAUGUUGGCCGGGCGACGGUUGUCCCGGUUUAAGCGUGUAGGCUGGUUUUCCAGGCAAAUCCGGAAAAUCAAGGCUGAGGCGUGACGACGAGGCACUACGGUGCUGAAGCAACAAAUGCCCUGCUUCCAGGAAAAGCCUCUAAGCAUCAGGUAACAUCAAAUCGUACCCCAAACCGACACAGGUGGUCAGGUAGAGAAUACCAAGGCGCUUGAGAGAACUCGGGUGAAGGAACUAGGCAAAAUGGUGCCGUAACUUCGGGAGAAGGCACGCUGACACGUAGGUGAAGUGAUUUACUCACGGAGCUGAAGUCAGUCGAAGAUACCAGCUGGCUGCAACUGUUUAUUAAAAACACAGCACUGUGCAAACACGAAAGUGGACGUAUACGGUGUGACGCCUGCCCGGUGCCGGAAGGUUAAUUGAUGGGGUCAGCGCAAGCGAAGCUCCUGAUCGAAGCCCCGGUAAACGGCGGCCGUAACUAUAACGGUCCUAAGGUAGCGAAAUUCCUUGUCGGGUAAGUUCCGACCUGCACGAAUGGCGUAAUGAUGGCCAGGCUGUCUCCACCCGAGACUCAGUGAAAUUGAACUCGCUGUGAAGAUGCAGUGUACCCGCGGCAAGACGGAAAGACCCCGUGAACCUUUACUAUAGCUUGACACUGAACAUUGAGCCUUGAUGUGUAGGAUAGGUGGGAGGCUUUGAAGUGUGGACGCCAGUCUGCAUGGAGCCGACCUUGAAAUACCACCCUUUAAUGUUUGAUGUUCUAACGUGGACCCGUAAUCCGGGUUGCGGACAGUGUCUGGUGGGUAGUUUGACUGGGGCGGUCUCCUCCUAAAGAGUAACGGAGGAGCACGAAGGUUGGCUAAUCCUGGUCGGACAUCAGGAGGUUAGUGCAAUGGCAUAAGCCAGCUUGACUGCGAGCGUGACGGCGCGAGCAGGUGCGAAAGCAGGUCAUAGUGAUCCGGUGGUUCUGAAUGGAAGGGCCAUCGCUCAACGGAUAAAAGGUACUCCGGGGAUAACAGGCUGAUACCGCCCAAGAGUUCAUAUCGACGGCGGUGUUUGGCACCUCGAUGUCGGCUCAUCACAUCCUGGGGCUGAAGUAGGUCCCAAGGGUAUGGCUGUUCGCCAUUUAAAGUGGUACGCGAGCUGGGUUUAGAACGUCGUGAGACAGUUCGGUCCCUAUCUGCCGUGGGCGCUGGAGAACUGAGGGGGGCUGCUCCUAGUACGAGAGGACCGGAGUGGACGCAUCACUGGUGUUCGGGUUGUCAUGCCAAUGGCACUGCCCGGUAGCUAAAUGCGGAAGAGAUAAGUGCUGAAAGCAUCUAAGCACGAAACUUGCCCCGAGAUGAGUUCUCCCUGAGACUUAGAGUCUCCUGAAGGAACGUUGAAGACGACGACGUUGAUAGGCCGGGUGUGUAAGCGCAGCGAUGCGUUGAGCUAACCGGUACUAAUGAACCGUGAGGCUUAACCUUACAACGCCGAAG